ACGUAGGGGGCGAGCGUUGUCCGAAUUUACUGGGCGUAAAGCGCGUGUAGGCGGCUCUUUAAGUCAGAAGUGAAAUCUUGCGGCUCAACCGCAAAACUGCUUUUGAAACUGGAGAGCUUGAGCGUGGGAGAGGAGAGUGGAAUUCCUGGUGUAGCGGUGAAAUGCGUAGAUAUCAGGAGGAACACCCGUGGCGAAGGCGGCUCUCUGGUCCACUGCUGACGCUGAGACGCGAAAGCUAGGGUAGCGAACGG
rnacentral:rRNA from 1 species